GGUUAAGCGACUAAGCGUACACGGUGGAUGCCCUGGCAGUCAGAGGCGAUGAAGGACGUGCUAAUCUGCGAUAAGCGCCGGUAAGGUGAUAUGAACCGUUAUAACCGGCGAUUUCCGAAUGGGGAAACCCAGUGUGAUUCGUCACACUAUCAUUAACUGAAUCCAUAGGUUAAUGAGGCGAACCGGGGGAACUGAAACAUCUAAGUACCCCGAGGAAAAGAAAUCAACCGAGAUUCCCCCAGUAGCGGCGAGCGAACGGGGAGGAGCCCAGAGCCUGAAUCAGCAUGUGUGUUAGUGGAAGCGUCUGGAAAGGCGCGCGAUACAGGGUGACAGCCCCGUACACAAAAGCGCAUGUGCUGUGAGCUCGAUGAGUAGGGCGGGACACGUGGUAUCCUGUCUGAAUAUGGGGGGACCAUCCUCCAAGGCUAAAUACUCCUGACUGACCGAUAGUGAACCAGUACCGUGAGGGAAAGGCGAAAAGAACCCCGGCGAGGGGAGUGAAAAAGAACCUGAAACCGUGUACGUACAAGCAGUGGGAGCACAGGUUU
rnacentral:rRNA from 1 species